CUGUGUGGGGCCAUUCAUUUGAACAGAACGGACUGAAGAAUUGGCUGCCAAGCCUGAGUGCAUGGCAUAUACUCCGAAGCACAAGAUGGUCUAAUGGAAGGCAGAAAGUUGAAAAAAGAUGCUUUCAUUCUAUCUGUGGCGUUUGUGUACUAUGGUCAAAGAAUGCUGCCCUCAUUUGUUAAGGAAAAAAAGAAAAAGAAAAAACUACCAGAGAGUAAAACAACUCAUAAAACUGUCAUGAAUAAUUCCAGCAGCUGGGCUGAAAUGGAAGGCUGCUCAAAGUACCUCUGGUUCUCCGUGACAAAGGCACCAGGAUCUUCAUGAGCUAUGGAAGGCCGCAAGAUCUGGCCGAGACGGUCCGACAGGAAUGAGAGUUCUCAGACCUGCACAGAACCUGUGACCAACUUACUCUCAGCCAACAGUUGCAUUGUGGGAACUCUUUGAAAUUGAGGGGAAAAUCCCCUAAUUAAAAGGUUCCUAAUCUCAGUUUCUGCUUAGGAAUUCCUUCUGGCACAUAUUAAACACACAGAUUUCUGGACUUCAACUUCAGAGAUCCUAAUGCCAGGAUCAUCAGUGGAGCCCAAGAGUCUACAUUUAAGAAGCUGUCUAGAAUGGACAAUUAGUCAGCUAUAUAAAUAAAAGAAAAUACUAGUGUAAGAAACA
rnacentral:lncRNA from 1 species